GCCAUAGCUCAGUGGUAGAGUAUCUGCUUUGCAUGGAGAAGGUCUCAGAUUCAAUCCCAAGUAUCUACA